ACUACAGCCACUACCAUCGUCCGCAUCGGAGUCGCCACCACCGUCGGAGUGCCUCUCCACCUUCUCCUUAGCUGCCGUCAGACUUCCUCCUCUCUCUCUCUUCCUUUCCUCUCACCACCGGCCAAAAGACAACUCCUAACCUCUCUUCUCGUUUCACCUCCUCCAACUUCUCCUCCUUCUUCACUCCGUUUCUCUACUUUACUCCUCUAGCCAGGUAGACCGGCUAGCUAUCUCUACGCUCCGACUCUCUCCCGGACCCCUUUCACGCUACGUGGAACAUUUCAGUGUGUGCGCAUGCCACGCACGAUCCCCCUCGGCUCUCUACACCUGAGGGUUGCGUACGGUGCAUCUGGACUUGGAAAAAACAUGUGUUCCAGGAGUGUCUGGCCGUGACAGAGGCUGGGAUACGCCGCGUUGCUCCACAACCGCGAAUCUUCGUCUCACGGAAUUGGAGCGCUCGAUCGAGCGUGGGUGUCUUCGAGUGAAAUACAAGUUGCACUUAUCGUACACACAGACUUAUCAUUCUGCCAGAUUUUCGAGGACGAAGCUAUGACCUUCCUUAAGUUUCGACGCACAGCUGCAUAUGUAGAUAUAGAUUCGAGGGAAAUUCCGGAAGAGAUAUCUUAUCGAGUACCGUACGUUUGUAAACUGAAAUGUUACCACGGAUUCCGUGAACCGAAAGAACGUACCUAGAAUUCAAUUUCCCUGCAGAUUGAUUAAAUGUCUCUGUCGAUGUGUUAAAUUUAUUCGCUCAAUAAAGACACUUUAUAAACGGA